rnacentral:piRNA from 1 species
UGCAGGAUGCGAUAUGAAUCACAUGAGGG